rnacentral:rRNA from 1 species
UACGUAGGGUGCAAGCGUUGUCCGGAAUUAUUGGGCGUAAAGAGCUCGUAGGCGGUUUGUCGCGUCUGCUGUGAAAUCCGGGGACGUCAACCCCGGACCUGCAGUGGGUACGGGCAGACUAGAGUGUGGUAGGGGAGACUGGAAGUUCCUGGUGUAGCGGUGAAAUGCGCAGAUAUCAGGAGGAACACCGAUGGCGAAGGCAGGUCUCUGGGCCACUACUGACGCUGAGAAGCGAAAGCAUGGGGAGCGAACAGG